AGAAAUCUAGGUUUCUGCGUAGAUUAGCAUCUGUGAAUGUCACUGCAGUUAACUCAAAGAUUUUAUCAUACUGAAGAAACUGGUUGUUAUAAAUUUACUGCAGUAAUAAAACUUAUUAAGUUUUGAGGCUUACUGCUAAAGUUAAAAGCAAUUUUCAUUCAGUGACCUUUUGUGCUCACCUGAGCACAAAGUGUGAGCUAUUGUGGAUGUCAUCGUCUGUCCACUCUUUCCUACCACAUAUACUUCUAAACCACUAGGCCAAGUUUGAUAAAACUUCUCAGAUAUGUUACUUGGAUGGUAUUCUUGAAAAAUUAUUCAAAGAAUUGAAUUCCAUACAGAACUCUGGUUGCCAUGUGACCUUUUGUGCUCACCUGAGCACAAAGUGUGAGCUAUUGUGGAUGUCAUCGUCUGUCCACUCUUUCCUACCACAUAUACUUCUAAACCACUAGGCCAAGUUUGAUAAAACUUCACAGAUAUGUUACUUGGAUGGUAUUCUUGAAAAAUUAUUCAAAGAAUUGAAUUCCAUACAGAACUCUGGUUGCCAUGUGACCUUUUGUGCUCACCUGAGCACAAAGUGUGAGCUAUUGUGGAUGUCAUCGUCUGUCCACUCUUUCCUACCACAUAUACUUCUAAACCACUAGGCCAAGUUUGA
rnacentral:lncRNA from 1 species